rnacentral:rRNA from 1 species
CAGUCGCCGCGGGAAUACGAAGGGUGCAAGCGUUACUCGGAAUUACUGGGCGUAAAGCGCACGUAGGCGGCUUGGUAAGUUAGAGGUGGAAGCCUGGAGCUCAACUCCAGAAUUGCCUUUAAGACUGCCGAGCUAGCAGGUGAGAGAGGUAGGUGGAAUUCCGAGUGUAGAGGUGAAAUUCGUAGAUAUUCGGAAGAACACCAGUGGCGAAGGCGGCUUACUGGCUCAUACUGGACGCUGAGGUGCGAAAGCGUGGGGAGCAAACAGGAUUAGAGACCCGCGUAGUCCCUGUCUCUUAUAC